rnacentral:lncRNA from 1 species
GCCAGCUGCCAUGUCCUGAAGAUACUAAGGCAACCGUGUGCAGAGGAACUAAAAUACCGAGUUCAACAACAGAUCACAGGUUGCGAGAGGUCUUAAAUCCAUACUCUUCCAGUGACUAGAGCAAAUGCAGCCCUAGGUCUGGCAUCCUGAAUUUUUGUCUUAUUUUUUCAUUAGUACACGAGACUCUACUUUCAUCUUUUUAAAAGGUCUCUUGCUAUCCUUCAAGCAAAGCUAUCUCCAAAUCUGAAGAAGAGACCAAGAAAUAGAAAAAGUAGCACCUCUUGCCUGCUUCCCUGUCUAAUAUUUGAAAGAGUGCCUCCAUCAGAGAGCUCCAUCCAGACCUAGACUUGGACAAUAGGCAGUUGUUUGCUUGCCUCUGGCUCUGCUCACUCUCCAUGGGGGUCUAUAGCUGGUGAUCAUCUUGUAUACCUAAUUCUGGCUUCAUCUUCAGACUCGGACAGAUGAUGAUGAAGUGGAUGUUGUUCUCAUUAUUCCUGCCUCAGGAUGUGGUGGACCACCAUCUGCAGCUGCCGUGUAAGUGAUCAUCUUGGCGCUGACCCACAUGCCACCUUUGUAGUCAUGAGUAUUCUAUCCGAGAGAUGCCAUCUGGUUUUCAUGGAAGCUGGUGGAAAAGUGGGGGUCUGUGUUUCACUGCAGAGAUGCGUGUUCAGAGAAAAAAACUGAACAUUUUCUGCUCCCAUUAGGGACAGAGCAUCAGCUGUUGUGUUCUUUGCAUCAAAUUUUCUCAUAGCUUAUACUUUCCCG